GAUGAACGCUGGCGGCGUGCCUAAUACAUGCAAGUCGAGCGAACGGACGAGAAGCUUGCUUCUCUGAUGUUAGCGGCGGACGGGUGAGUAACACGUGGAUAACCUACCUAUAAGACUGGGAUAACUUCGGGAAACCGUAGCUAAUACCGGAUAAUAUUUUGAACCGCAUGGUUCAAAAGUGAAAGACGGUCUUGCUGUCACUUAUAGAUGGAUCCGCGCUGCAUUAGCUAGUUGGUAAGGUAACGGCUUACCAAGGCAACGAUGCGUAGCCGACCUGAGAGGGUGAUCGGCCACACUGGAACUGAGACACGGUCCAGACUCCUACGGGAGGCAGCAGUAGGGAAUCUUCCGCAAUGGGCGAAAGCCUGACGGAGCAACGCCGCGUGAGUGAUGAAGGUCUUCGGAUCGUAAAACUCUGUUAUUAGGGAAGAACAGAUGUGUAAGUAACUGUGCACAUCUUGACGGUACCUAAUCAGAAAGCCACGGCUAACUACGUG
rnacentral:rRNA from 1 species